AAUGGGGGAUAACGUAGCGAAAGUUACGCUAAUACCGCAUAUGCCCUGAGGGGGAAAGUGGGGGAUCGCAAGACCUCACGUUUUCGGAGCGGCCGAUAUCAGAUUAGCUAGUUGGUGAGGUAAAGGCUCACCAAGGCGACGAUCUGUAGCUGGUCUGAGAGGACGACCAGCCACACUGGGACUGAGACACGGCCCAGACUCCUACGGGAGGCAGCAGUGGGGAAUUUUGGACAAUGGGGGCAACCCUGAUCCAGCCAUGCCGCGUGAGUGAAGAAGGCCUUCGGGUUGUAAAGCUCUUUCGGACAGAAAGAAAUCGCACGGGCUAAUACCCUGUGUGGAUGACGGUACUGUAAGAAGAAGCACCGGCUAACUACGUGCCAGCAGCCGCGGUAAUACGUAGGGUGCGAGCGUUAAUCGGAAUUACUGGGCGUAAAGCGUGCGCAGGCGGUUUCGUAAGACAGAUGUGAAAUCCCCGGGCUUAACCUGGGAACUGCAUUUGUGACUGCGAGACUAGAGUACGGCAGAGGGGGGUAGAAUUCCA
rnacentral:rRNA from 1 species